rnacentral:RNase_P_RNA from 1 species
UCUAUCAGUCAGACUAUCGCUUCGAUUUAAUCGGAGAGGAAAGUCCGGACAGCACAGAGCAACACACCGGUUAAUAGCCGGUUCCGAUACAAUCGGAAAGAAAGUGCCACAGAAAAUUACUGCCCAGUAAAAUGGGUUAAGGUGAAAAUGUGAGGUAAGAGCUCACAGGUAGUUGUAGUAAUACAACAAUCGGGUAAACCUUGUGUGCUGCAAUGCCACGUAUAUCAGCGCUCCAUUAAUUUGGUAAAGAGCGGCUCGUUCAAUGUUGAAGGGUAGGCAGCAAGAUGGUGUUAGUAAUAACACUGCCAGAUAAAUGAUAGUCUCCCGAUUUUAUCGGGAAACAGAAUCCGGCUUAUUGACUGAUAGAAUUU